rnacentral:rRNA from 1 species
UUGGAGGGCAAGUCUGGUGCCAGCAGCCGCGGUAAUUCCAGCUCCAAUAGCGUAUAUUAAAGUUGUUGCAGUUAAAAAGCUCGUAGUUGAAUUUCGGGGUUAGUAGGUUGGUCAUGCCUCUGGUAUGUACUGGUCUCACUGAUUCCUCCCUCCUGAUGAACCUUAAUGCCAUUAAUUUGGUGUUUUGGGGAAUUUGGACUGUUACUUUGAAAAAAUUAGAGUGUUUAAAGCAAGCUAACGCUUGAAUACAUUAGCAUGGAAUAAUGAAAUAGGACGUUCGAUCCUAUUUUGUUGGUUUCUAGGAUUGACGUAAUGAUUAAUAGGGAUAGUUGGGGGCAUUAGUAUUCAAUUGUCAGAGGUGAAAUUCUUGGAUUUAUUGAAGACUAACUACUGCGAAAGCAUUUGCCAAGGAUGUUUUCAUUAAUCAAGAACGAAAGUUAGGGGAUCGAAGACGAUCAGAUACCGUCGUAGUCUUAACCAUAAACUAUGCCGACUAGGGAUCGGAUGAUGUUAAUUUUAUAAUGACUCAUUCGGCGCCUUACGGGAAAC